rnacentral:rRNA from 1 species
CAGCAGCCGCGGUAAUACCGAGGGUGCGAGCGUUAAUCGGAUUUACUGGGCGUAAAGAGUGCGUAGGCGGCUUUUUAAGUCGGAUGUGAAAUCCCUGAGCUUAACUUAGGAAUUGCAUUCGAUACUGGGAAGCUAGAGUAUGGGAGAGGAUGGUAGAAUUCCAGGUGUAGCGGUGAAAUGCGUAGAGAUCUGGAGGAAUACCGAUGGCGAAGGCAACCAUCUGGCCUAAUACUGACGCUGAGGUACGAAAGCAUGGGGAGCAAACAGGAUUAGAUACCCCGGUAGUCCCUGUCUCUUAUAC